AACGAACGUUAGCGGCGCGCUUAACACAUGCAAGUCGAGCGAGAAGGGGGCAACCCCAGUAAAGCGGCGCACGGGUGAGUAACACGUAGGUAAUCUACCUCGAGGUGGUGGAUAACCUUCCGAAAGGAGGGCUAAUACAGCAUGAGACCACGUUCUCGAAAGAGGAUGAGGUAAAAGCGGGCCUCUAUACAUAAGCUCGCGCCACGAGAUGAGCCUGCGGCCCAUCAUGGUAGUUGGUAGGGUAAUGGCCUACCAAGCCGAAGACGGGUAGCUGGUCUGAGAGGAUGAUCAGCCACACUGGAACUGAGACACGGUCCAGACUCCUACGGGAGGCAGCAGUGGGGAAUCUUGCGCAAUGGGCGAAAGCCUGACGCAGCGACGCCGCGUGAGUGAUGAAGGCCUUCGG
rnacentral:rRNA from 1 species